UACAGAGACCUCAAGCGUUAUCCGGAAUCAUUGGGCGUAAAGCGUACCGAUCGGUGGUUUUACAAGUCAGAGGUGAAAUUCCAAGGCUCAACCUUGGGACUGUCCUUUGGAACUGUAAAACUAGAGGGACAAAGAGGAAGCUAGAACUAACGGUGUAGGGGUAAUAUCCGUUGAUAUCGUUAGGAAUACCGAUAGCGAAGGCAGGCUUCUGGGUGUCACCUGACACUGCUAGGACGAAAGCGUGGGGAGCAAAAAGG
rnacentral:rRNA from 1 species